rnacentral:rRNA from 1 species
GAUGAACGCUAGCGGCAGGCCUAAUACAUGCAAGUCGAGGGGUAUAAGGAGCUUGCUUCUUUGAGACCGGCGCACGGGUGCGUAACGCGUACGCAACCUACCUUAAUCAGGGGGAUAGCCCGGAGAAAUUCGGAUUAACACCGCAUAAAAUCACAGUAUUGCAUAAUACAAUGAUCAAAUAUUUAUAGGAUGAAGAUGGGCAUGCGUGUCAUUAGCUAGUUGGUAAGGUAACGGCUUACCAAGGCGACGAUGACUAGGGGAUCUGAGAGGAUUACCCCCCACACUGGUACUGAGACACGGACCAGACUCCUACGGGAGGCAGCAGUAAGGAAUAUUGGUCAAUGGACGCAAGUCUGAACCAGCCAUGCCGCGUGCAGGAUGACUGCCCUAUGGGUUGUAAACUGCUUUUAUAUAGGAAUAAAUGUACUUACGUGUAAGUAUUUGAAUGUACUAUAGGAAUAAGGAUCGGCUAACUCCGUGCCAGCCGCCGCCGUAA